UACGGAGGAUCCGAGCGUUAUCCGGAUUUAUUGGGUUUAAAGGGAGCGUAGGCGGGUUGUUAAGUCAGUUGUGAAAGUUUGCGGCUCAACCGUAAAAUUGCAGUUGAUACUGGCAUCCUUGAGUACAGUAGAGGUAGGCGGAAUUCGUGGUGUAGCGGUGAAAUGCUUAGAUAUCACGAAGAACUCCGAUUGCGAAGGCAGCCUGCUGGACUGUAACUGACGCUGAUGCUCGAAAGUGUGGGUAUCAAAUAGG
rnacentral:rRNA from 1 species